UACGGGGGGGGCAAGCGUUGUUCGGAAUUACUGGGCGUAAAGGGCUCGUAGGCGGCCAACUAAGUCAGACGUGAAAUCCCUCGGCUUAACCGGGGAACUGCGUCUGAUACUGGAUGGCUUGAAUCCGGGAGAGGGAUGCGGAAUUCCAGGUGUAGCGGUGAAAUGCGUAGAUAUCUGGAGGAACACCGGUGGCGAAGGCGGCAUCCUGGACCAACACUGACGCUGAGGAGCGAAAGCCAGGGAAGCAAACGGG
rnacentral:rRNA from 1 species